GAUGAACGCUGGCGGCGUGCCUAAUACAUGCCAGUCGAGCGAACGGACGAGAAGCUUGCUUCUCUGAUGUUAGCGGCGGACGGGUGAGUAACACGUGGAUAACCUACCUAUAAGACUGGGAUAACUUCGGGAAACCGUAGCUAAUACCGGAUAAUAUUUUGAACCGCAUGGUUCAAAAGUGAAAGACGGUCUUGCUGUCACUUAUAGAUGGAUCCGCGCUGCAUUAGCUAGUUGGUAAGGUAACGGCUUACCAAGGCAACGAUGCAUAGCCGACCUGAGAGGGUGAUCGGCCACACUGGAACUGAGACACGGUCCAGACUCCUACGGGAGGCAGCAGUAGGGAAUCUUCCGCAAUGGGCGAAAGCCUGACGGAGCAACGCCGCGUGAGUGAUAAAGGUCUUCGGAUCGUAAAACUCUGUUAUUAGGGAAGAACAUAUGUGUAAGUAACUGUGCACAUCUUGACGGUACCUAAUCAGAAAGCCACGGCUAACUACGUG
rnacentral:rRNA from 1 species